rnacentral:rRNA from 1 species
AGUGAACGCUGGCGGUAGGCCUAACACAUGCAAGUCGAACGGCAGCACAGUAAGAGCUUGCUCUUACGGGUGGCGAGUGGCGGACGGGUGAGGAAUACAUCGGAAUCUACUUUUUCGUGGGGGAUAACGUAGGGAAACUUACGCUAAUACCGCAUACGACCUACGGGUGAAAGCAGGGGAUCUUCGGACCUUGCGCGAUUGAAUGAGCCGAUGUCGGAUUAGCUAGUUGGCGGGGUAAAGGCCCACCAAGGCGACGAUCCGUAGCUGGUCUGAGAGGAUGAUCAGCCACACUGGAACUGAGACACGGUCCAGACUCCUACGGGAGGCAGCAGUGGGGAAUAUUGUACAAUGGGCGCAAGCCUGAUCCAGCCAUACCGCGUGGGUGAAGAAGGCCUUCGGGUUGUAAAGCCCUUUUGUUGGGAAAGAAAAGCAGCAGGUUAAUACCCCGCUGUUCUGACGGUACCCAAAGAAUAAGCACCGGCUAACUUCGU